rnacentral:tRNA from 2 species
UGGGGAUUAGUCUAGUGGUAGGACGGAUGAUUCUGGCUCAUCAAACCCGGGUUCGAAUCCUGGAUCCCCAGCCA